rnacentral:rRNA from 1 species
UACGUAGGUGGCAAGCGUUGUCCGGAUUUACUGGGCGUAAAGGGCGCGUAGGCGGUCGUGACAGUCACUUGUGAAAUCUCCGGGCUUAACUCGGAACGGUCAAGUGAUACUGUCGGACUAGAGUACAGAAGGGGCAACUGGAAUUCUCGGUGUAGCGGUGAAAUGCGUAGAUAGUCGAGAGGAACACCUGGCGGCGAAGGCGGGUUG